AACGAAUGAGACCAGAUGAUGGAGCUAAAAGUACAUCACCAACAAGGAAGGUGAACGAAAACUAUGCCAGAGGAAUUGUGCCUUUGUUCCCAUACCUCAGUGUCCCCUUCUUCAAAAAUGGCUAUGUGCAUUACUAUGAUGUUGGUAAGAGUGCCAACGGAUACUUGCUAUGGAGAAUCAAAACUAUACAGAGAGGCAUUUCUAACGAGGAAUAUAAUUUGAAGGUACAAAAUGAAAAGAGAAAUGUCAUUGUGCCACUUUUCACAGCAGUUUUGUAGCUACUGAGUUGCAUUAACUGUGACUAAGGAUUAAGUUCAUAUAGCAUUCUUUAAGCAGU